CUCAAAUUCUCUCCUUUCAAUUUCCCUCCAUUCAUUAGAAGGAGUCAAAAUGACCCUGUGGCUGAACUUGGUAUUUUUUCUUGCAUCCUUUGGAGGUGUCCGAUCUCAGGUUCAGUUGGUGGAGUCUGGAGGGGAUGUGAGAAGACCUGGGGAGUCCCUCCGUCUCUCCUGCCAAGCCUCUGGAUUCACCUUCAGCAGCUAUUACAUGCAAUGGGUGAGACAGGCUCCAGGGAAAGGACUUGAAUGGGUGGCCAGCAUACAUCCAGGCUCAUCUCCAAUUUACUACUCAGACAAAGUCAAGGGCCGCUUCACCGCCUCCAGGGACAAUGCCAAAAGCCAGCUGUAUCUGCAAAUGAACAGCCUCAAAGCAGAAGACACAGCUGUCUAUUACUGUGCGAGAGACACAGUGAGAGGAAGUGAAUCUGAAGCCCACCAAGAACCUUCUCUGCCUCUGAACAGCUUACACUUAUUUACACUCAGUCCUUUUAUUUCCUUCCUUGCUGAAUUUCUUCAGUCUCAUACUUUCCUACAUGAUACUCGUUUUCCAUUCCUUCCCCAUUUAUUUAUACCCCGUAUGCUUAAACCUGACUCUCUGUCCUUCUUAAAUCUGUAUAAAAUCCCCUGA